GAUGAACGCUGGCGGCGUGCCUAAUACAUGCAAGUCGAGCGAACAGACGAGGAGCUUGCUCCUCUGACGUUAGCGGCGGACGGGUGAGUAACACGUGGAUAACCUACCUGUAAGACUGGGAUAACUUCGGGAAACCGGAGCUAAUACCGGAUAAUAUAUUGAACCGCAUGUUUCAAUAGUGAAAGACGGUUUUGCUGUCACUUAUAGAUGGAUCCGCGCCGCAUUAGCUAGUUGGUAAGGUAACGGCUUACCAAGGCGACGAUGCGUAGCCGACCUGAGAGAGUGAUCGGCCACACUGGAACUGAGACACGGUCCAGACUCCUACGGGAGGCAGCAGUAGGGAAUCUUCCGCAAUGGGCGAAAGCCUGACGGAGCAACGCCGCGUGAGUGAUGAAGGUCUUCGGAUCGUAAAACUCUGUUAUUAGGGAAGAACAAAUGUGUAAGUAACUAUGCACGUCUUGACGGUACCUAAUCAGAAAGCCACGGCUAACUACGUG
rnacentral:rRNA from 1 species